UAAAAUGGUGUCACAACAAGAAUUAAGAGAGCAUCCAGCAGCUGAAGGAAAAGAACAUCCAAAGAUCUCAUGACCUUUUCUGUGUACCUAGUCGACAUCUACGUAAAUGUAGCCCUCAUUGGCUGGAAUCAUAAUGACAUCUGCAUCUGGAACUGGCCACCAGUGUAACACCCACAAAAUGCAUGACAGAUUUCAGACCACAUGAAAAGUCUACAGAGUGAGAAUAUGAAAAUCCAUCAAUGAGGAGAAAAAAUGUUAUCUCCCACUAAGAACACUUUCCAGAAGCUACACAAUUCCAGUUAUUGAUUCAUUCCAUUUACUAGAGCCUGUUUAUCUUGCUAUGCCUAAAAGCAAGGGAAACUGAAAUAGUUGCUAUUAUGUUCUGUAACUCAGCUUAGCCUAGCUUCAGAAGUUUUAAUAAAGAAUAUAUAUUGAAAUAUUUUCCGGUAGCUAUUCACUUCCAAAUACGCAAUUUUUGUUUCAGCUCAAUCUUCCAUUUUAAUAUCCUAUCACACUCCUUCAUAUAGGUUUAGAUAUAAUUUUAACUUCUUUCUAAGGGACAUUGUUUCCUAUAAUAAAGGUAGUUCAACUAUCUGCUAAGUCAUUGCUUUCCUAUUAUAAGCUAUUUUGAUUACAAUCAAUCUGUGCAAAACAUUAGGAUGCUUUAGCAAUGAUUAAACACCAAUGAAUACUUUCUUAGUUUUACAUGGUGAGCAAAACAAAUAUGGCCCCAUAGUCUCAUCUCAGUUUCCAUAAGUCACUAUCAAUUCAGGCAGAAAACAAAUUGAAAUUUUUGAUUUCCCCAAAUGGAAGAUAAAUUAGACAGCAAUGUUGAGUUAUAAUCUCCAAACCCAAAAUUUCUGUGUUUUCCACAUAAGAAAUCCAAACUGAAAGGUGUAUAACAGCCCAAGAACUGAAUAUGAACACCAGCCUCAAGAGCAGAACAUUGACUAUCAGGACGAAAACUCCAAAAUGCACUGGGGAGCCUUGUGGACACAGGAGGUCUUUCAGAGAGUGAGCAUCAUCAUGACAGGAUGGGCAUGCUAAGACAUCUCUGUAUGCUAUUUUACUCCCUCAUUAAGGAGAAAUCAAAUUCCUUUUCUGACUGAGAUUUUCACACAGUUGGGAGAGAAUUAUAACCAAUUUUUGGUGCUCUUUUUAGGAAAAGCUCUGAGCCUCAGUAAUAUAUUAUGAACCAGGAUAAAAUGAUUAGAUUCAUAAAUAGUUUUGGAAGGCUAGACAAAGUGAUAUUUAAUAACCCAACUGAGUGGUAGUGGAUAACGAAAUACUAUAUCACCAUUAAGAAAUAGGCCCAAUUAAAUAUCUCUUUUUGUGUACUUAGUAGUAGUAGCAGUGGUAGUAAUAUUAUUAGUGUAAUGCUUUAUGGCAAUCAAAAUCAGCAUGAUAAAAUCAUUCUUACCAUAUAGCUUGUCUUUUUAUUUGAAUUGUUAUUUUUAAUUUUAAAUAUCAAGUAAAUGAGUUAUUUCUGAGGCCUCUCUUCUGUUCCAUUUACUUCCUAUUUACUGGGAAUUACCUCCUAUUCAAACACUGCAUUUAUCAUAAUAAUAAAAUGUUUACAUAAUUAU